CAAGACAACUUUACGGAGUUGACGAUUGACGGAGCGAAGCGACGUCAAAGCGUUCAUUAAAGUCGAGUUGGCUUAGGGAUACGUUCGUUGGGUAGGGGAGCGUUCUGUAAGCCUGUGAAGGUGUGUCGUGAGGCAUGCUGGAGGUAUCAGAAGUGCGAAUGCUGACAUAAGUAACGAUAAAGCGGGUGAAAAGCCCGCUCGCCGGAAGACCAAGGGUUCCUGUCCAACGUUAAUCGGGGCAGGGUGAGUCGACCCCUAAGGCGAGGCCGAAAGGCGUAGUCGAUGGGAAACGGGUUAAUAUUCCCGUACUUGGUGUUACUGCGAAGGGGGGACGGAGAAGGCUAUGUUGGCCGGGCGACGGUUGUCCCGGUUUAAGCGUGUAGGUGUGUGUUCCAGGUAAAUCCGGUUCACUUUAACACUGAGGCGUGACGACGAGGCACUACGGUGCUGAAGCAACAAAUGCCCUGCUUCCAGGAAAAGCCUCUAAGCAUCAGGUAACACGAAAUCGUACCCCAAACCGACACAGGUGGUCAGGUAGAGAAUACCAAGGCGCUUGAGAGAACUCGGGUGAAGGAACUAGGCAAAAUGGUGCCGUAACUUCGGGAGAAGGCACGCUGACACGUAGGUGAAGUGAUUUACUCAUGGAGCUGAAGUCAGUCGAAGAUACCAGCUGGCUGCAACUGUUUAUUAAAAACACAGCACUGUGCAAACACGAAAGUGGACGUAUACGGUGUGACGCCUGCCCGGUGCCGGAAGGUUAAUUGAUGGGGUCAGCGUAAGCGAAGCUCCUGAUCGAAGCCCCGGUAAACGGCGGCCGUAACUAUAACGGUCCUAAGGUAGCGAAAUUCCUUGUCGGGUAAGUUCCGACCUGCACGAAUGGCGUAAUGAUGGCCAGGCUGUCUCCACCCGAGACUCAGUGAAAUUGAACUCGCUGUGAAGAUGCAGUGUACCCGCGGCAAGACGGAAAGACCCCGUGAACCUUUACUAUAGCUUGACACUGAACAUUGAGCCUUGAUGUGUAGGAUAGGUGGGAGGCUUUGAAGUGUGGACGCCAGUCUGCAUGGAGCCGACCUUGAAAUACCACCCUUUAAUGUUUGAUGUUCUAACGUGGACCCGUAAUCCGGGUUGCGGACAGUGUCUGGUGGGUAGUUUGACUGGGGCGGUCUCCUCCUAAAGAGUAACGGAGGAGCACGAAGGUUGGCUAAUCCUGGUCGGACAUCAGGAGGUUAGUGCAAUGGCAUAAGCCAGCUUGACUGCGAGCGUGACGGCGCGAGCAGGUGCGAAAGCAGGUCAUAGUGAUCCGGUGGUUCUGAAUGGAAGGGCCAUCGCUCAACGGAUAAAAGGUACUCCGGGGAUAACAGGCUGAUACCGCCCAAGAGUUCAUAUCGACGGCGGUGUUUGGCACCUCGAUGUCGGCUCAUCACAUCCUGGGGCUGAAGUAGGUCCCAAGGGUAUGGCUGUUCGCCAUUUAAAGUGGUACGCGAGCUGGGUUUAGAACGUCGUGAGACAGUUCGGUCCCUAUCUGCCGUGGGCGCUGGAGAACUGAGGGGGGCUGCUCCUAGUACGAGAGGACCGGAGUGGACGCAUCACUGGUGUUCGGGUUGUCAUGCCAAUGGCACUGCCCGGUAGCUAAAUGCGGAAGAGAUAAGUGCUGAAAGCAUCUAAGCACGAAACUUGCCCCGA
rnacentral:rRNA from 5 species